GGGGACGUAGUGUAGCGGUUAGCACGUCUGCUUUACACACAGAAGGUCCUGGGUUCACGUCCCAGUGGAGCCA
rnacentral:tRNA from 1 species